rnacentral:rRNA from 1 species
GAUGAACGCUGGCGGCGUGCCUAAUACAUGCAAGUAGAACGCUGAAGGAAGGAGCUUGCUCUUUCCGGAUGAGUUGCGAACGGGUGAGUAACGCGUAGGUAACCUGCCUGGUAGCGGGGGAUAACUAUUGGAAACGAUAGCUAAUACCGCAUAACAGUAGAUGUUGCAUGAUAUCUACUUAAAAGGUGCAAUUGCACCACUACCAGAUGGACCUGCGUUGUAUUAGCUAGUUGGUGAGGUAACGGCUCACCAAGGCGACGAUACAUAGCCGACCUGAGAGGGUGAUCGGCCACACUGGGACUGAGACGCGGCCCAGACUCCUACGGGAGGCAGCAGUAGGGAAUCUUCGGCAAUGGACGGAAGUCUGACCGAGCAACGCCGCGUGAGUGAAGAAGGUUUUCGGAUCGUAAAGCUCUGUUGUAAGAGAAGAACGAGUGUGAGAGUGGAAAGUUCACACUGUGACGGUAGCUUACCAGAAAGGGACGGCUAACUACGUG